rnacentral:rRNA from 1 species
CCUACGGGAGGCAGCAGUAGGGAAUAUUGCUCAAUGGGGGAAACCCUGAAGCAGCAACGCCGCGUGGGGGAUGAAGGUUUUCGGAUUGUAAACUCCUUUUGUUAGAGAAGAUACUGACGGUAUCUAACGAAUAAGCACCGGCUAAAUCCGUGCCAGCAGCCGCGGUAAUACGGAGGGUGCAAGCGUUACUCGGAAUCACUGGGCGUAAAGAGCGCGUAGGCGGGAUAGCAAGUCAGAUGUGAAAUCCUAUGGGUUAACCAUAGAACUGCAUUUGAAACUGUUAUUCUAGAGUAUGGGAGAGGGAGGUGGAAUUCUUGGUGUAGGGGUAAAAUCCGUAGAGAUCAAGAGGAAUACUCAUUGCGAAGGCGACCUGCUAGAACAUAACUGACGCUGAUGCGCGAAAGCGUGGGGAGCAAACAGGAUUAGAUACCCCAGUAGUC